GACGAACGCUGGCGGCGUGCUUAACACAUGCAAGUCGAACGGAAAGGCCCUGCUUUUGUGGGGUGCUCGAGUGGCGAACGGGUGAGUAACACGUGAGUAACCUGCCCUUGACUUUGGGAUAACUUCAGGAAACUGGGGCUAAUACCGGAUAGGAGCUCCUGCUGCAUGGUGGGGGUUGGAAAGUUUCGGCGGUUGGGGAUGGACUCGCGGCUUAUCAGCUUGUUGGUGGGGUAGUGGCUUACCAAGGCUUUGACGGGUAGCCGGCCUGAGAGGGUGACCGGCCCCAUUGGGACUGGGGUACGGCCCCGACUCCUACGGGAGGCCGGAGUUGGGAAUAUUGCACAAUGGGCGGAAGCCUGAUGCAGCAACGCCGCGUGCGGGAUGACGGCCUUCGGGUUGUAAACCGCUUUCGCCUGUGACGAAGCGUGAGUGACGGUAAUGGGUAAAGAAGCACCGGCUAACUACGUG
rnacentral:rRNA from 1 species